GAUGAACGCUAGCGACAGGCUUAACACAUGCAAGUCGAGGGGCAGCGGGGGAUAAGCUUGCUUUUCCUGCCGGCGACCGGCGCACGGGUGAGUAACACGUAUGCAACCUGCCCCUGUCAGAGGGAUAAUCCGGAGAAAUCCGGUCUAAUAUCGCAUAAAGCGUUUGCGGGGCAUCCUGCGAGCGCCAAAGGAGUAAUCCGGACAGGGAUGGGCAUGCGGCGCAUUAGCUAGUUGGGGGGGUAACGGCCCACCAAGGCGACGAUGCGUAGGGGUUCUGAGAGGAAGGUCCCCCACAUUGGUACUGAGACACGGACCAAACUCCUACGGGAGGCAGCAGUGAGGAAUAUUGGUCAAUGGGCGGAAGCCUGAACCAGCCAAGUCGCGUGAGGGAAGACGGCCCUAAGGGUUGUAAACCUCUUUUGCCGGGGAGCAAAAGCGCCGUGCGCGGUGCUAUGAGAGUACCCGGAGAAAAAGCAUCGGCUAACUCCGUG
rnacentral:rRNA from 1 species